CCUACGGGAGACAGCAGUAGGGAAUCUUCCACAAUGGACGAAAGUCUGAUGGAGCAACGCCGCGUGAGUGAAGAAGGGUUUCGGCUCGUAAAGCUCUGUUGGUAGUGGAGAAAGAUAUAGUUAGUACCUGGCCUUUAUUUGACGUUAAUUACUUAGAAAGUCCCGGCUAACUACGUGCCAGCAGCCGCGGUAAUACGUAGGUGGCAAGCGUUGUCCGGAUUUAUUGGGCGUAAAGCGAGUGCAGGCGGUUCAAUAAGUCUGAUGUGAAAGCCUUCGGCUCAACCGGAGAAUUGCAUCAGAAACUGUUGAACUGGAGUGCAGAAGAGGAGAGUGGAACGCCAUGUGUAGCGGUGGAAUGCGUAGAUAUAUGGAAGAACACCAGUGGCGAAGGCGGCUCGCUGGGCUGCAACUGACGCUGAGGCUCGAAAGCAUGGGUAGCGAACAGGAUUAGAUACCCCUGUAGUC
rnacentral:rRNA from 1 species